GAUAAAGUAAUCGUGAAGAAUUGACAAUGAUUUUGUUUAUUUUCAGCGAACGGCCGGACGGUAAAAAGUACCUCCGAAAGAAACAUAGGAGGUGGCAAGCGAGACGCGGGCGUGGCUAGGGCUUCGUCGGCGGAUUACAUCGCGCGUGGGAAAAAAGAUAACAGGCAGACACCGUAAACUUGUGGCAUCCUACACAGUAACUAUAAGUAGAACAGUACUGAAGACUGUUUAUCGUUUUGCUCAUCUAGUUAACGUUGUACGGUUACUUUAGGAAUACUUCUUGUUAUAUACUAUGUUAAGGAAUUACUUUUAAAUCAGCAGGUCCGAUUGUAUAAAUAUUAAUAACUUCGAUAAAUUAUUAACUUUUAAAUAUGAAACUGCAUAAAGAAAUAGUUGGUUCCUGUUAUAUCUUUUAAUUUUAAAAUAUUUAAUCAAUUAUUAUUUUAUCGGCAUAGAAUAUUGUAAUCUCUCUAGAAUAUCAAUUUUGUUAAACAAAUAUUUAUAUUUAUAGCUCAGUUUUGAACAAUUAAAUUUGUAGCGAGUGAUUGUAUCAUCUUGUAUAAGUUGAGUUUUUUUUAUAAUGCU